CUAGAUUUCUAUCAGUAGAACAUCACAUUUUUCUUUUCUGUUUGCAGGAAGAUUUGGUGUUGAUGGAGGAGGCAACAUCUUCAAGGCAAAACCUUAGACCUGAUGCAACAUCAUCCAGUGUCAAAAUCACCCUUUAGGAGUGAGGAGGAUGUGAUUCGUCAUGCAGCAGCACAGAUAAACACCACAAAGACAUCUGAAGUCUGUCACGAGAUAACACGUCUGAAGUUGUGGAAACAUAAAAAACCAGGAAUUCCAGUCAAUCCCCUGAAAAUCACCUUCCUUGGAGAGCCUGUAAAAAUAAAUAAAUAAAAUUAUAUGUAUAUAAAGCUAAAAACAAUAAAGCAAAAUGUACAGCUC
ensembl:lncRNA